GAUGAACGCUGGCGGCGUGCCUAAUACAUGCAAGUCGAGCGAACAGACGAGGAGCUUGCUCCUCUGACGUUAGCGGCGGACGGGUGAGUAACACGUGGAUAACCUACCUAUAAGACUGGGAUAACUUCGGGAAACCGGAGCUAAUACCGGAUAAUAUAUUGAACCGCAUGGUUCAAUAGUUAAAGACGGUUUUGCUGUCACUUAUAGAUAGAUCCGCGCCGCAUUAGCUAGUUGGUAAGGUAACGGCUUACCAAGGCGACGAUGCGUAGCCGACCUGAGAGGGUGAUCGGCCACACUGGAACUGAGACACGGUCCAGACUCCGACGGGAGGACGCAGUAGGGAAUCUUACGCAAUGGGCGAAAGCCUGACGGAGCAACGCCGCGUGAGUGAUGAAGGUCUUCGGAUCGUAAAACUCUGUUAUUAGGGAAGAACAAAAGUGUAAGUAACUAUGCACGUAUUGACGGUACCUAAUCAGAAAGCCACGGCUAACUACGUG
rnacentral:rRNA from 1 species